AGUUUGAUCCUGGCUCAGGAUGAACGCUAGCUACAGGCUUAACACAUGCAAGUCGAGGGGAAACGAUAUUGGAAGCUUGCUUCCGAUAGGCGUCGACCGGCGCACGGGUGAGUAACGCGUAUCCAACCUGCCCAUCACUUGGGGAUAACCUUGCGAAAGUAAGACUAAUACCCAAUGAUAUCUCUAGAAGACAUCUGAAGGAGAUUAAAGAUUUAUCGGUGAUGGAUGGGGAUGCGUCUGAUUAGCUUGUUGGCGGGGUAACGGCCCACCAAGGCGACGAUCAGUAGGGGUUCUGAGAGGAAGGUCCCCCACAUUGGAACUGAGACACGGUCCAAACUCCUACGGGAGGCAGCAGUGAGGAAUAUUGGUCAAUGGACGAGAGUCUGAACCAGCCAAGUGGGGCAGAUGGCGCCCUUGGGUUUAAAUGUUUUAAAAGGAAUAAAGGAGCUACGGUAGCUUUUGCAAGACCUUAAGAAAAGGCCGGUUAUUCCGUCCAGCAGCCGGGUAAUCGGAAGUCCGGCGUAUCCGGAUUAUGGGUUAAAGGAGGUAGCCGGAGAUAAGCGUGUGUGAAAGUAGAUGCUCACAUCUGCAUUGCAGCGGGACUGGUUCCUUGAGUACGCACAAAGUGGGCGGAAUUCGUGGGGUAGCGGCGAAAUGCUUAGAUAUCACGAAGGACUUCGAUUGCGGAGGCAGCUCAAUGGAGGCGCACUGACGGUGAAGCUUGAAAGUGCGGGUAUUGGACCGGAUUAGGUUCCCUGGUUGUUCGCACGGUUAACGAAGGAAGCCCGGUGGUGGUUUGAAUUGGUUAGCGGCCCAGCGAAAGCCUUAAGCAUUCCAACUGGGGAGUAAGCCGGCAACGGUGAAAAUUAAAGGAAUUGACGGGGGGCCGCACCAGCGGAGGGACCAGGGGUUUAAUUUGGUGAUUCGGGGGGGACCUUACCCGGGCCUGAAUUGCAGGGGAAGGAAUUGGAGGCAAUGGAGGCCUUUGGGGUUUUUGGGAAGGUUGUGCAAGGUUGUUGUCAGGUUGUUCCCUGAGGGGUUGGGUUAAGUGCCAUUACGAGGGCAACCCCUUUCCUUAGUUGCCCUCAGGUCCAGGUGGGCAAUUUGGGGGCCAUGCCCCCGUAAGGGGGGAGGAAGGGGGGGGAGGCGUCAAAUUAGCCCGGGCCUUACGUUCGGGGGUACACAAGUGGUACAAUGGCAAGGAAAGAGAGGAGGUGUUUUGCAAAGGGCAUUUUAUCCUUAAAGCCUGUUUCAGUUUGGGAUGGGGUUUGGAACCCGGCCCCCAGGAGCCGGGUUUGGUUGUAAUUGGGGCUUAGGCAAGGGGCGGGGGAAACGUUUCCGGGCCUUGCACACCACGCCCGUC
rnacentral:rRNA from 1 species